CCUACGGGGGGCUGCAGUGAGGAAUAUUGGUCAAUGGGCGGAAGCCUGAACCAGCCAAGUCGCGUGAGGGAUUAAGGCCCUGCGGGUCGUAAACCUCUUUUGUCGGGGAGCAGUGGUCCGGACGCGUCCGGACCGGGAGAGUACCCGGAGAAAAAGCAUCGGCUAAGCCUGUGCCAGAAACCGCGGUAAUCAGGAGGAUGCGAGCGUUAUCCGGAUUUAUUGGGUUUAAAGGGUGGGUAGGCGGGGAUUAAAGCCGGGGGGCAAAUGUUGGGGCUCAACCCCGGCCUGCCGUCGAAACUGGCUGCCUUGAGUGUGCGAGAAGUAUGCGGAAUGCGUGGUGUAGCGGUGAAAUGCAUAGAGAUCACGCAGAACCCCGAUUGCGAAGGCAGCAUACCGGCGCCCUACUGACGCUGAGGCACGAAAGUGCGGGUAUCGAACAGGAUUAGAUACCCGGGUAGUC
rnacentral:rRNA from 1 species